GAACGCUAGCUACAGGCUUAACACAUGCAAGUCUUUGGGCAUCAGGAAGAAAGCUUGCUUUCUUUGCUGGCGACCGGCGCACGGGUGAGUAACACGUAUCCAACCUGCCCUUUACUCGGGGAUAGCCUUUCGAAAGAAAGAUUAAUACCCGAUAGCAUAAUGAUUCCGCAUGGUUUCAUUAUUAAAGGAUUCCGGUAAAGGAUGGGGAUGCGUUCCAUUAGGUUGUUGGUGAGGUAACGGCCCACCAAGCCUUCGAUGGAUAGGGGUUCUGAGAGGAAGGUCCCCCACAUUGGAACUGAGACACGGUCCAAACUCCUACGGGAGGCAGCAGUGAGGAAUAUUGGUCAAUGGGCGCUAGCCUGAACCAGCCAAGUAGCGUGAAGGAUGAAGGCUCUAUGGGUCGUAAACUUCUUUUAUAUAAGAAUAAAGUGCAGUAUGUAUACUGUUUUGUAUGUAUUAUAUGAAUAAGGAUCGGCUAACUCCGUGCCAGCAGCCGCGGUAAUACGGAGGAUCCGAGCGUUAUCCGGAUUUAUUGGGUUUAAAGGGAGCGUAGGUGGACUGGUAAGUCAGUUGUGAAAGUUUGCGGCUCAACCGUAAAAUUGCAGUUGAUACUGUCAGUCUUGAGUACAGUAGAGGUGGGCGGAAUUCGUGGUGUAGCGGUGAAAUGCUUAGAUAUCACGAAGAACUCCGAUUGCGAAGGCAGCUCACUGGACUGCAACUGACACUGAUGCUCGAAAGUGUGGGUAUCAAACAGGAUUAGAUACCCUGGUAGUCCACACAGUAAAACGAUGAAUACUCGCUGUUUGCGAUAUACAGUAAGCGGCCCAAGCGAAAGCAUUAAGUAUUCCACCUGGGGAGUACGCCGGCAACGGUGAAACUCAAAGGAAUUGACGGGGGCCCGCACAAGCGGAGGAACAUGUGGUUUAAUUCGAUGAUACGCGAGGAACCUUACCCGGGCUUAAAUUGCAGUGGAAUGAUGUGGAAACAUGUCAGUGAGCAAUCACCGCUGUGAAGGUGCUGCAUGGUUGUCGUCAGCUCGUGCCGUGAGGUGUCGGCUUAAGUGCCAUAACGAGCGCAACCCUUAUCUUUAGUUACUAACAGGUUAUGCUGAGGACUCUAGAGAGACUGCCGUCGUAAGAUGUGAGGAAGGUGGGGAUGACGUCAAAUCAGCACGGCCCUUACGUCCGGGGCUACACACGUGUUACAAUGGGGGGUACAGAAGGCAGCUAGCGGGUGACCGUAUGCUAAUCCCAAAAUCCUCUCUCAGUUCGGAUCGAAGUCUGCAACCCGACUUCGUGAAGCUGGAUUCGCUAGUAAUCGCGCAUCAGCCACGGCGCGGUGAAUACGUUCCCGGGCCUUGUACACACCGCCCGUCAAGCCAUGGGAGCCGGGGGUACAUGAAGUACGUAACCGCAAGGAUCGUCCUAGGGUAAAACUGGAAA
rnacentral:rRNA from 1 species